GUGACAUUUGAUCAGAGUCUGCAUAAAGUGAGGUUGCAAACCACACAAAUAGCUGAGGGAAGAACUUUCCAGGCAGAGAACAGAGGAAAACAUGUGUCACUUAAAGGCAUUAGUUCUUUCACUUGAAUCAUGAAGUAAUAUAAGGCCACACUACAAACCAGCAACCAUGGAUCUAUAUGAAGCAGUGGUUCCAAGGUGGCUAGUGGUAAAGAAUCCGCCCGCCAGUGAAGGAGACAUGAGACUCAGGUUUGAUCCCUGAGUUAGGAAGAUCCCCUGGAGGAGGAAAUGGCAACCUAUUCCAGUAUUCUCACCUGGAUAAUCCCCUACAUAGAGGAGCCUGACAGGCUAUGAUUCAUAGAGUCGCAAAGAGUUGGACACAACUGAAGCAACUUAACACACAAAUAUGUUAUAUGGAUCAAGGUUACUAAACCCUAAAUUCUCCUAGUUCUGACAUGUGGAAUGGUCAUUAGCUAACCAAUAAAGACUAUCAAAAUUUAAGAGUACUUGGAUAUUUCCUCACAAGUAUAGGAUUCAUAAGGGAAGCGAAGCUUGGGGUCAUUUAAGGUGAAUGCUCAUCCCCAACCUAGAGA